UACGUAGGGUGCAAGCGUUAAUCGGAAUUACUGGGCGUAAAGCGUGCGCAGGCGGUGAUGUAAGACAGAUGUGAAAUCCCCGGGCUCAACCUGGGAACUGCAUUUGUGACUGCAUCGCUGGAGUACGGCAGAGGGGGAUGGAAUUCCGCGUGUAGCAGUGAAAUGCGUAGAUGUGCGGAGGAACACCGAUGGCGAAGGCAAUCCCCUGGGCCUGUACUGACGCUCAUGCACGAAAGCGUGGGGAGCAAACAGG
rnacentral:rRNA from 1 species